CGCGGAGUAGAGCAGCUUGGUGGCUCGCAAGGCUCAUAACCUUGAGGUCACGGGUGCAAAUCCCGUCUUCGCAA
rnacentral:tRNA from 1 species